AUGACACGACUGAAUGGACCAUAAACGGAUGCCUGUGAUUUCUGCAAGUUGGAGUAGUUUAUUGAUCCAGAGUCCAGUGAGGAUAUAGAUGUGGCUUUGCCGGCUCCCCGCAUCUUAUGAUCUUAUCCUGAUGGAAGGAAAUUAGACUGGCAAUUGGGACCAUUCUCACCUUUGGACUCUGAUUAGGAGGCUGCAAAGCUCAGAAUCCUCAGAACUCGACCUGCCCUGACAGCGUCUGAGCCACCAUGGGAACCCGAGGUGAUGUGUAUCCAUUGGGGCUCUGCAUCGCCCUGUGCCUGUGGAGCACCGUGGCCCAGACUCCUGGCGUACAAGGUACCACUGGGGACUGCAACAGCCAUCGGCUGUGCCCAGCAGAUGCCAAGUGUGUGAACAGCACCCACUGCACCUGCCUGGAUGGAUACCAGCCAAGGGGGAAUCGCUUCUUCACCGACCCAACAGAGACCUGUGAUGAUAUUAAUGAGUGUCUGGGGCUGAGCCCGCCAAACUGUGGACCCAACGCAAACUGCAACAACGUGCCUGGGAGUUACAACUGCACCUGCAUCGAUGGCUACGAGUUCAGCUCUGGGAAAGCCAACUUCACGCGCGCGAGUGAGAACAGGUGCCGGGAUAUUGACGACUGUCAAGGCCCGAGCCCGGCAGACUGCGGACUCCACGCAAACUGCACCAACGUGCCUGGGAGUUACUACUGCAGCUGCAUCGAUGGCUACAAGCUCAGCUCUGGGAAAGCCAACUUCACGCACACGAGUGAGAACAGCUGCCAGGAUAUUGACGAGUGUCAGGACCCGAGCCCGCCAGACUGUGGACCCCACGCAAACUGCACCAACGUGGCUGGGAGUUACUUCUGCGGCUGCAGCGAUGGCUACGAGCCCAGCCCUGGGAAAGCCAAGUUCACACACGCGAGUGAGAACAGCUGCCAGGAUGUUAAUGAAUGUCUCAGAUCCCCUGACAUCUGUGGCCCAGGAGCCCAGUGCAACAACACCGAUGGGAGUUACCAGUGUGCCUGCCCAGCCGGCCAAAUGCCUUCCACCGGGAGCUGGGUCCGGAAUCAAACCACGUGUAAAGUCCCCAGCAUUAACUCCAGCGCUGAGUUUGAGGGAAUCAGAGAGAUGUGCAGGAAUUUCUCUCUGCAGGGAAAGCGGUGCAGCGGAAGCAGCAGUUUCUGCUUUUUCUUUAAUUCGACCUUAAACAUUUUGAUGUCCAUAUGCGGAGACAGGAGUGUGGCGUUAUCACUGGAGAACGUGACUCUCCGUUUCAACGCUCUCCUGAACAGCACCUCCCUCUGGGAUGGCGGAGACAAUUGGGAGGUGGGGUCGGCCGUGACGGUCCUGCUGCAGAGCGUGGAACUGGCUGCGCUGGCCACUACGCUCCGGUCUCCGGAGAGGACAACACAGAACGUGACGACAGAGUCUCUGGCUAUCCAGACGCAGCUCGUCAGAGGGAACUGCAGCCAGCACAGUGAGGUCUUCACGCUGAGAGCUCACGAGGAGACAAUGGACGUGCACUGUGAUACAGUCACCGGGGCAGCCACACAAGGUUUGGGGGCUGCUGCUUUUAUUUCCUACUCCACCCUGGACUCCAUCAUCAGUGCGAGACGUCUCAGUGAGGGAAAUCUGCCGGUUGGGAAGCUGGAGAAGAGUCAUCUCAACUCCAGGGUGGUGAGUGGGGCCGUCGGAGACGGAAGAGCCAUUAACCUCUCCAGAUGUGCAAACUUCACCCUACGCCAUAGAAAGGCCAAAAAAGAGGAGGAAGAGGCUCUCUGCGUCUACUGGAAAGUGGUGGCCGAGAGUGGCAGCUGGUCUCUGGACGGCUGCACCACCGUGCACACGAACACCACUCACACCACCUGCAACUGUGACCUUCUCUCCAGCGUGGCUGUCCUAAUGUCUCUCACUGCAGUGACGGAGAGCUACCCACUGACCAUCAUCACCUACAUGGGACUGACCCUCUCCUUGCUGUGCCUCCUCCUCGCCAUCCUCACCUUCCUCCUGUGCCGCUCCAUCCGCAACGUCAGCACCUCCCUCCACCUGCAGCUCUGCCUCUGCCUCUUCCUGGCCGACCUGCUCUUCCUCACUGUGGUGACCCACACUGGCAGUCAGGUGGCGUGUGCUGUCAUUGCUGGCCUCCUACACUACCUCUUCCUGGCCUGCUUCACCUGGAUGUUCCUGGAGGGGCUGCACCUCUUCCUCACCGUCUGGAACCUGCAGGUCGUGAAUUACACCAGCGCCAGCCGGUUCAAGAAGAGAUUCAUGUACCCAUUCGGCUACGGAUUCCCAGCCCUGGUGGUGGCUAUUUGUGCAGCGGUGAAUCCUGGCGGCUAUGGAACUUCCACACACUGCUGGCUCAGUCUGGAGAGAGGCUUUCGUUGGAGCUUCCUGGGUCCAGUCUGUGCCAUAAUCCUGAUAAAUAUAACGUUCUUUGUGCUGACCCUGUGGAUCCUGAGAAACAGACUCUCCUCCCUCAAUGAAGAGGUGUCCAAUGUCAGAGACCACAGGUUACUGACCUUUAAAGCCAUCGCCCAGCUCUUCCUUCUGGGCUGCACAUGGAGCCUUGGUCUCCUCCAAGUUGGCCCAGCAGCCGCGGUCAUGGCGUAUUUAUUCACCAUCGUCAACAGCCUGCAGGGAGCCUUCAUCUUCCUGGUGCACUGUCUCCUCAAUCGCCAGGUGAGAGAGGAAUACAGGAGAUGGAUCAAGGGAUUCCGAAUGUUCAGCAUGAAAUCUCAGACAUACGAUCUGUCCAUGUCUGCUGUCCCCACCACCAGCACCAACACGUUGCUGUCCUUGGUCGGUGAAGGCCCAGAGUUAUGAGCGUUCAUGUGAGUUCAACUCCCACUGAAGGGAUGGGAGAUACCGAGAUGGCAUCAAGAAAUGCCUCAGCUGCUGUUGCCACCACCACAUAAACAACUGGGGUCUGGCCUGAACUACAGAUCUAUAUCGGUAUCACUGAGGACUGCAACAAGCAUAUCACAUGCCCUUUAAACACCAAGUGUGUGAACAACACUCACUGCACCUGCCUGGACGGAUUCCAGCCGAGUGGGAAUCGCGUCUUCACCAAUCUUAAGGAA